UUUCUAUAUUUCCUGCCCAGUACUAAAAUCAGCCAUUUCUCCGAGGAGCCCUGAUUCCUUUUACCAUGGAAAGGGAGCUGAACUUCAGCAGUGAAAAGGACUGGAGAGCUCCCGCGGGUCUCGAACCGCCCAGAGAGGUAAAAGGACUGGAGAGCGCCCGCGGGUCUCGAACAACCCAGACAGGUUGCUUGUUUCAAUUAAAGAACUGUCGAAGUAACCGCUGAGCUAAAGCCAGCCCGGAGGUUGCUUUCGGAUUAUAUUUUAUUGACUGGUGAGAAAGACCUACGUCACAAAGAGUGAGUCAAAAAGAGAGUGCUUCAGCAUGACUCAGCGACCAGGACUGUCCAACACGCCCCCGACCUCCAGACAAUUGAGGAGUUGUCCAUCUGGGGACACACAGCAGUGACAAGGACGUAGCCUUUCCUAAUCCCUGAAGAGCUCUUCCGCAGGUACUCUGAAGGGCAAUUCCAGCAGAAUGUACAUUCCAUGACAUCUGGGACUUUGAUGCGUUGCCCCAGAAGAUAAUACCAGUACCUACAGCAUGUUCACCUAAGCACUGGUCAAGUGGAUAUUACUCAACCAGAAUGCAAACAUUUCUAUUGGUUUUAGUAAGACCUGAAAGAGGCUGGGCGCGGUGGCUAACGCCUGUAAUCCCAGCAGUUUGGGAGGCUGAGGCGGGCGGAUCAUGAGGUCAGAUGAUCAAGACCAUCCUGGCUAACAUGUGAAACCCCCUCUCUACUAAAAAUACAAUAAAAAAAAAAAAUAGCCGGGCGUGGUGGCAGGCGCCUGUAAUCCCAGCUACUCGGGAGGCUGAGGCAGCAGAAUGGCAUGAACCAGGAAGGUGGAGCUUGCAGUGAGCCGAGAUAGCGCCACUGCACUUCAGC
rnacentral:lncRNA from 1 species